rnacentral:rRNA from 1 species
ACGCACGCUGGCGGCGUGCCUAAUACAUGCAAGUAGAACGCACAGUUUAUACCGUAGCUUGCUACACCAUAGACUGUGAGUUGCGAACGGGUGAGUAACGCGUAGGUAACCUGCCUGGUAGCGGGGGAUAACUAUUGGAAACGAUAGCUAAUACCGCAUAAUAUUAAUUAUUGCAUGAUAAUUAAUUGAAAGGUGCAAUUGCACCACUACCAGAUGGACCUGCGUUGUAUUAGCUAGUAGGUGAGGUAACGGCUCACCUAGGCGACGAUACAUAGCCGACCUGAGAGGGUGAUCGGCCACACUGGGACUGAGACACGGCCCAGACUCCUACGGGAGGCAGCAGUAGGGAAUCUUCGGCAAUGGACGAAAGUCUGACCGAGCAACGCCGCGUGAGUGAAGAAGGGUGUCGGAUCGUAAAGCUCUGUUGUAAGAGAAGAACGGGUGUGAGAGUGGAAAGUUCACACUGUGACGGUAUCUUACCAGAAAGGGACGGCUAACUACGUG